rnacentral:rRNA from 1 species
GACGAACCGAGCGAACGUUAUUCGGAAUCACUGGGCUUAAAGGGCGCGUAGGCGGGCGGCCAAGUCAGGGGUGAAAGCCCCCAGCUCAACUGGGGAAGUGCCUCUGAUACUGGUCGCCUCGAGGGAGAUAGGGGCGUGCGGAACUUCCGGUGGAGCGGUGAAAUGCGUAGAUAUCGGAAGGAACACCGGUGGCGAAAGCGGCGCGCUGGAUCUCUUCUGACGCUGAGGCACGAAAGCUAGGGUAGCGAACGGG